rnacentral:rRNA from 1 species
AUGCAGCCACCGUGCCUGGGCGCGUGCGGGGGCAGCCCCGCCGUCCUGGGCGCCAGUGCGCACUGCCACCGCCCCUCCACCUCCAGGGCUACCAUCCGGUGCGCCGCCCGGGGCGGGAAGGCGUCGUCGAGGGGGAAGGAGAACGUCUGGAGCGUAGACAACGAACGCGCCGCCGAGCAGAAGGGUCGGUCCCAAAAGAACCACCGCGGGCGGAGGCGCCCGGGAGGGCGCAGCAGGGCGCCCCCGCCGCCGGGGAGUAGGAAGGAGAAUGACGCGGGCUCGAGGGUUCUGGUCUCCGGAGCCAUGCUGGUGGAGGUCGAGACCGUGCUCCAGACCCAGGAAUCUGUAUUAAGGCCUUCCUGGGAUACAUUUGCGAGUAGCUUAAGUGGCGUAUGGAAGGGUGUCGGAGCUGUGUUCUCACCAAUCACAGCAGAGAUGGAACCUGUUGGACUAGGAAGCAAACAGGAGUAUCUUUAUGAUUGCUACACUCUUUCUCGCAUUGAGAAGUCGUAUGAUAGUGUUCAUGGGACCGAGAUCCAAAGGAAGACAAAUUGGGUGCAGCUCAAUCCUCAUGGGGAAGCUGAGAAGCAGAGUGCCAGCGAUGAUGAAUGGAGUCAUGGUAUCUCCAGUGGGACUGUUGAUUUACCUGCGCAUGAAUAUUUUGAUCUUAAAAAGAGCGAUGUACUUGAUGAAGAUGUUAUGAUUGAAGAACCAGGGAUUGUAUUUUUUGAGGAUGGAUCAUACUCUAGAGGUCCACUUGAUAUAGAAAUCGGCGAAUAUGAUGAAUCUAAAUACUUCCUCUCACCAACGUAUCAGUUUGAGCAAAGUCUGGUCAAAGGAUGCCACAAAAGACUGCGUAUUGUGCAUACCAUUGAAUUCAAUGAAGGAGGAGCGAAUAUACAAACCGUAAGGGUUGCUGUGUAUGAAGAAAAAUGGGCUAGCCCAGCAAAUAUCCAUGUUGAAGAUAUUACCCCUGUUGACGUCAGACCUUUCUCUCAAAGAAAGCGGACGAAACCAUCAGAAUUGACAGGCCCCUGGAAAGUAUAUGAAGUCAGUGCAACACCAAUUUUCAGUGAGAAAGUAAAAGAAAUAGAGGGUGGAGCCGCCUUUGUAUACUUGUGCAUGGAGACCAUGAAGAAGAGAACCUUGCCAGAGAGCUCUGUUUUCUUCGGGGAGGAGGAGAUGCUCGAUAUGCAAGACGUGACUAUACUUUGGUUGCCUGGAGGCGUCACCGCCUAUGUUGACGUAGAUAAAGAUGGUAUACUCUGCAUCGGAGUUAGUUGGUACUCGGAGGAAGGGAUUAAUCUGGUGAUGGAGAGGGACUAUGGAACUGACGGGAAGCUCAGGGAAGUUCGGACGAAAACUGAAAUCAAGCGCAGAUUGCCGAUACAAUGUUUGCUUAGCUUGAUCGUUGGAGAACAUGGGUGGACCUGGACCAUGGUCAUGCCUCGUGGAGCAGAUGCAGGAAGUCCAGCUUUGGAAGAUGCAACCAAGGAAGAGUGCCUACAAAGAUUACAGAACCGGAUUGAGGUGCCUUAUGAUAGUCAAAAUAGAGAACAUCAGGAAGCACUCAAAGCCCUUUGGCAUGCUUCUUUUCCUGGGACUGAACUUCUAGGACUAGUAUCAGAUCAAUGGAAGGAGAUGGGAUGGCAAGGGAAAGAUCCAUCCACAGAUUUCAGGGGUGGUGGCUUUAUCUCUUUGGAGAAUUUACUUUACUUCGCUAAGAACUAUCCAAAAUCCUUCGAGGAGCUCCUUUGUAAGCAAAAUGGUGACAGAGCAUUAUGGGAAUAUCCAUUUGCUGUAGCUGGAGUAAAUAUUACAUUUAUGCUCAUUCAGAUGCUUGAUCUUCAAGCAGCUAAGCCAAGGUCUUUGAUUGGAGCAGUGUUCCUAAAUCUACUUAUAGAAAACGAUCGAGCUUUUGAUAUUCUUUACUGCAUAACCUUUAAGCUGAUGGAUCGGAAAUGGCUUGAAAUGCACGCCACAUAUAUGGAUUUUAAUACUGUUAUUAAAUCCACACGGCGCCAGCUUGAGAGAGAGCUAUUACUUGAAGAUAUUCAGCAAAUUGAGGACAUGCCGUCAUACGGGUUUCUUGCCCGUUAG